AACACGAAGUGAGUGGCGGACGGGUGAGUAACACGUGGGUAACCUGCCCAGAAGCAGGGGAUAACACCUGGAAACAGAUGCUAAUACCGUAUAACAGAGAAAACCGCCUGGUUUUCUUUUAAAAGAUGGCUCUGCUAUCACUUCUGGAUGGACCCGCGGCGCAUUAGCUAGUUGGUGAGGUAACGGCUCACCAAGGCGAUGAUGCGUAGCCGACCUGAGAGGGUAAUCGGCCACAUUGGGACUGAGACACGGCCCAGACUCCUACGGGAGGCAGCAGUAGGGAAUCUUCCACAAUGGACGCAAGUCUGAUGGAGCAACGCCGCGUGAGUGAAGAAGGGUUUCGGCUCGUAAAGCUCUGUUGUUAAAGAAGAACGUGGGUGAGAGUAACUGUUCACCCAGUGACGGUAUUUAACCAGAAAGCCACGGCUAACUACGUGCCAGCAGCCGCGGUAAUACGUAGGUGGCAAGCGUUAUCCGGAUUUAUUGGGCGUAAAGCGAGCGCAGGCGGUCUUUUAAGUCUAAUGUGAAAGCCUUCGGCUCAACCGAAGAAGUGCAUUGGAAACUGGGAGACUUGAGUGCAGAAGAGGACAGUGGAACUCCAUGUGUAGCGGUGAAAUGCGUAGAUAUAUGGAAGAACACCAGUGGCGAAGGCGGCUGUCUGGUCUGUAACUGACGCUGAGGCUCGAAAGCAUGGGUAGCGAACAGGAUUAGAUACCCUGGUAGUCCAUGCCGUAAACGAUGAUUACUAAGUGUUGGAGGGUUUCCGCCCUUCAGUGCUGCAGCUAACGCAUUAAGUAAUCCGCCUGGGGAGUACGACCGCAAGGUUGAAACUCAAAAGAAUUGACGGGGGCCCGCACAAGCGGUGGAGCAUGUGGUUUAAUUCGAAGCUACGCGAAGAACCUUACCAGGUCUUGACAUCUUCUGCCAACCUAAGAGAUUAGGCGUUCCCUUCGGGGACAGAAUGACAGGUGGUGCAUGGUUGUCGUCAGCUCGUGUCGUGAGAUGUUGGGUUAAGUCCCGCAACGAGCGCAACCCUUAUUACUAGUUGCCAGCAUUCAGUUGGGCACUCUAGUGAGACUGCCGGUGACAAACCGGAGGAAGGUGGGGACGACGUCAAAUCAUCAUGCCCCUUAUGACCUGGGCUACACACGUGCUACAAUGGAUGGUACAACGAGUCGCGAAACCGCGAGGUUUAGCUAAUCUCUUAAAACCAUUCUCAGUUCGGACUGUAGGCUGCAACUCGCCUACACGAAGUCGGAAUCGCUAGUAAUCGCGGAUCAGCAUGCCGCGGUGAAUACGUUCCCGGGCCUUGUACACACCGCC
rnacentral:rRNA from 1 species